rnacentral:rRNA from 1 species
GACUGGGGUGAAGUCGUAACAAGGUAACCGUAGGGGAACCUGCGGUUGGAUCACCUCCUUACCUAAAGA